rnacentral:rRNA from 1 species
UGUGGAAAGCACGGGCCGGGAAUGGAAAGACCGGUACAAGCGGGGUAGGUGUACAAUAGGCAAAUCCGUUGUAUAAUCCGAAGACGUGAUGUGGAGCGAAAUAAAGUAGCAAAGCGUGUGAGCCAUGUGCCGAGAAAAGCUGCUAUUGUGUAAUGCGUGCCCGUACCGUAAACCGACACAGGUGGAUGAGGAGAGAAUCCUAAGGCCGACGGAAGAAGCAUUGUUAAGGAAUUCGGCAAAAUGACCCCGUAACUUCGGGAGAAGGGGUGCCUGCGAGAGCAGGCCGCAGAGAAUAGGCUCAAGCAACUGUUUAGCAAAAACACAGGUCUAUGCGAAACCGAAAGGUGAAGUAUAUGGGCUGACGCCUGCCCGGUGCUGGAAGGUUAAGAGGAGAGGUUAGCGUAAGCGAAGCUUUGAAUUUAAGCCCCAGUAAACGGCGGCCGUAACGAUAACGGUCCUAAGGUAGCGAAAUUCCUUGUCGGGUAAGUUCCGACCCGCACGAAAGGCGUAAUGAUUUGAGCACUGUCUCGACAAUGCAUCCGGUGAAAUUGAAGUACCAGUGAAGAUGCUGGUUACCCGCGCCAGGACGGAAAGACCCCAUGGAGCUUUACUCCAGUUUGAUACUGGGAUUCGGUACUGCAUGUACAGGAUAGGUGGGAGACGAAGAAGGAUGGACGCCAGUCUGUCCGGAGUCGCUGUUGGGAUACCACCCCUGUAGUACUGGGUUUCUAACCAGUUGCCAUGAACUGGCAAUGGGACAAUGUCAGGCGGGGAGUAUGACUGGGGCGGUCGCCUCCGAAAGGGUAUCGGAGGCGCUCAAAGGUUCCCUCAGAAUGGUUGGAAACCAUUUGAAGAGUGCAAAGGCAGAAGGGAGCUUGACUGCGACACCGACGGGUGGAGCAGGUACGAAAGUAGGACUUAGUGAUCCGGUGGUAUAAAGUGGGAUUGCCAUCGCUCAACGGAUAAAAGCUACCCUGGGAUAACAGGCUUAUCACUCCCAAGAGUUCACAUCGACGGAGUGGUUUGGCACCUUGAUGUCGGCUCAUCGCAUCCUGGGGCUGUAGCAGGUCCCAAGGGUUGGGCUGUUCGCCCGUUAAAGCGGUACGCGAGCUGGGUUCAGAACGUCGUGAGACAGUUCGGUCCCUAUCCGGCGCGGGCGGAGGAUAUUUGAGAGGAGCUGUCCUUAGUACGAGAGGACCGGGAUGGACGGACCACUGGUGUAUCUGUUGUCGACCAACGGCAUGGCAGAGUAGCCAAGUCUGGAAGGGAUAAACGCUGAAGGCAUCUAAGCGUGAAGCCCCCCUCAAGAUGAGAUAUCCCUCCUUCGGGAGUAAGGCCCCUUGAAGACUACAAGGUAGAUAGGGCAGAGGUGGAAGCAUGGCAACAUGUGGAGCUGACUGUUACUAAUAGGUCGAGGGCCU